CGUGGAGUAUAUCAGAGGUAGAUAGCCAGGCUCAUAACCUGGAGGUCGGUGGUUCGAAUCCAUCCUCCGCAA
rnacentral:tRNA from 1 species